rnacentral:rRNA from 1 species
AUUGAACGCUAGCGGGAUGCUUUACACAUGCAAGUCGAACGGCAGCGCGGACUUCGGUCUGGCGGCGAGUGGCGAACGGGUGAGUAAUGUAUCGGAACGUGCCCAGUAGCGGGGGAUAACUACGCGAAAGCGUAGCUAAUACCGCAUACGCCCUACGGGGGAAAGCAGGGGAUCGUAAGACCUUGCACUAUUGGAGCGGCCGAUAUCGGAUUAGCUAGUUGGUGAGGUAACGGCUCACCAAGGCGACGAUCCGUAGCUGGUUUGAGAGGACGACCAGCCACACUGGGACUGAGACACGGCCCAGACUCCUACGGGAGGCAGCAGUGGGGAAUUUUGGACAAUGGGGGAAACCCUGAUCCAGCCAUCCCGCGUGUGCGAUGAAGGCCUUCGAGUUGUAAAGCACUUUUGGCAGGAAAGAAACGUCGCGGGCUAAUACCCCGUGGAACUGACGGUACCUGCAGAAUAAGCACCGGCUAACUACGUG